UGGAUCAGCCAUGGAUGCAGCAAAAUGUCUUAGUUUUUAGAUCCCUGACAUACCCAUUGCUGUUUCUGGCAUCUCUUCUAAUUGCACUGAAUCAGUGUGAAAACAUGAUGCCCAGAGCUGGAUGCAGUAUUUGAAGUGGGGUCAGAAGAUGAUGAUAACAACAGCAAUAAUAAUAUUACAUUUAUAAAGGCAGAAUGUAGUGUAAUUUGGAAAUGAUGAUGCAGGUUUAUGAGUUAGAAUCAAGAUGUGAUCUGGAUAUCCAAUAUACAGGAAUACGUCUCCUGGUCCACUAUGAUAAGGGGUCUCCAACCUUAGUAACUUAGAUUGUGGACUUCAACUCCCAGAGUUCCUCAUUCAGCAAAGCAGGAAGUCAAAGCAGGCUGUAAUCAGUAGCUGAAGAAAAACACAUGCUGUGCCCGAAAGGAGCAGUAAUUAUAGGCAUGUUUCGGCUGAAGAAAAACUGCUUUAAACAGUAAAAAACAACAACAACAACCUCUGCUGUUGGUGCGGCUCAGCAGGGGCGGGGCGGGGCCAGGGAUUUUUGCUACUGGUCCUCCGAACCAGCCGCCACCAUCGCUACCGGAUCACACGAGCCGGUCCGAACCGGGACCAUUUCACUCCUGCCUGGAGCACUGUUGGAGGAAGGUGAAGGAAGUCAACAGGACACCUGUAAAAGCCCCAUCCUUUUUCCUCUCCAUCCUGAAUAAUGCCCCUGGGUCCAUAUGGUGCCCAAAAACAUGCAGGAUGGGGAAGGUUUCAAGGGGAGGCUGAACUGUGCUACUCUCCAACAGUACAAAGCCUUGAAUUUUCUUUUACUCCUGUGUUUCAAAAGAUCAGCCAAAGAAGUCUUGAAAGGUAUCACAGGUGUUGUUUGAGUGUGAUGUUAUGCCUGCAGGCAUCAUGUCGUUGCUGCCAUCUUCCCAAUGAACCAACUUUCUUUUAACACUGAUUCAGAGGAAAGGACAAGGUAACAAUCUGUAAUGAUUGCCAAAAUUAAAAUUAAAAAUUUCCAGCUGCCCUCUCUACCAUUCCCUACCAUGUUUUCCUGAAAAUAAGACCCUGUCUUAUAUUUUUUUGAACCCCAAAAUAAGCGCUUGGCCUUAUUUUCGGGGAGGUCUUAUUAUUUUGGGGCGCGUGGAGCAAGACAGGGCUUCUCUUGCCAUCUUACCUAAUUUCCAGCUCUGUCUCCCUAACCCUAACCUGAGGAAAUGGCGGGGACUGGCUGUGCAUGCGUUUAAAUAUUUUCAGGGAGGGCUUAUUUUUGGGGAAACAGGGUAUUUCUACCACCUUAAUAUGUGAAGCUUUAUAAACCAGAAUUCUCAUUACAAAUUAUGUAGUAGAUUACUACAUAAGAGAAGGGACUUGCUUUGGAAAAGUAAUCUUCAACCAAGUCCUUUUAGAAUAACACCAUGCUUGUGAUGACACAUCAUGCACUCACAUUUUCUAUUACGGCAGGCAAUGUAUUAUAAAAGACUUGAUGGAUCAAUGUAAAUUUACUCGGGUGAAGGACACAUCAAAUCAAUUCUGCCUAAAUAUGUUGUGACUGUCAGCCUAGAUUGCAGUCAAGCUGAUACAUCCAGUUGUUGUUGUUUUUAUUAACUGUCCCAAGUAGAAUUGUUCAUGGACAUGUUUUAGAAGCUUCUCUCCACUUGUACUUCUUUAGCAAAAACAAUCCUUGUGCCACAAUGCCCAGACAACCUCUUUUUUCUGCAAUUUUCUUUAUUUUUAUUUUUAUUGUAAUUUUCUUCAAUAAGACUUGAAAUUUUGGGCUUAGACAACUUAGAACUACGCCACCUUCGGUAUGACCUAAGCGUAGCUCAUAAAAUCAUCUGCUACUAUAUCCUGCCUGUCAAUGACUACUUCAGCUUCAACCACAAUAACACAUGAGCACACAAUAGAUACAAACUUAAAGUGAACCAUUCCAAUCUUGAUUGCAGAAAAUAUGGCUUCAGCAACAGAAUGGUCAAUGCCUGGAAUGCACUGCCUGACUCUGUGGUUUCCUCCCCAAACCCCCACAACUUUAACAUUAGACUGUCUACUGUUGACUUCACCCCAUUCCUAAGA